AGAACGAACGCUGGCGGCAGGCUUAACACAUGCAAGUCGAGCGCCCCGCAAGGGGAGCGGCAGACGGGUGAGUAACGCGUGGGAACAUACCCUCCGGUUCGGAAUAGCUCAGGGAAACUUGGAUUAAUACCGGAUACGGCCUAGCGGCGAAAGAUUGAUCGCCGGAGGAUUGGCCCGCGUCUGAUUAGCUAGUUGGUGGGGUAAUGGCCCACCAAGGCGACGAUCAGUAGCUGGUCUGAGAGGAUGAUCAGCCACAUUGGGACUGAGACACGGCCCAAACUCCUACGGGAGGCAGCAGUGGGGAAUAUUGGACAAUGGGCGCAAGCCUGAUCCAGCCAUGCCGCGUGAGUGAUGACGGCCUUAGGGUUGUAAAGCUCUUUCGCUAGGGAAGAUAAUGACGGUACCUAGACAAGAACGCCCCGGCUAACUUCGUGCCAGCAGCCGC
rnacentral:rRNA from 1 species